GUGAAUCAUCGAAUCUUUGAACGCAUCUUGCACUCUCUGGUAUUCCGGAGAGUAUGUCUGUUUGAGUGUCAUGAAUUCUUCAACCCUCCCUUUUCUUAGUGAAUUGAGAGGAGUUUGGAUUCUGAGUGUUGCUCCUAACCCGAGCUCAUUCGUAAUAUAUUAGCAUCCAUAUUCGACUUCGGAUUGACUUGGCGUAAUAGACUAUUCGCUGAGGAAUCUAACUUCGGUUAGAGCCGUUUUUGAACUAGGAAGCUGCUAAUCUAGCUUAGUCUACCUUUAGAUUAGAUCUCAAAUCAGAUAGGAUUACCCGCUGAACUUAAGCAUAUCAAUAAGCGGAGG
rnacentral:rRNA from 1 species